AUUUGUUUGAGGCUGAACUUGCAGGUGCAAAUAGAGAGGUCAACAUGCUAUUUUCCAAAUACUCUGAAGUGUUGAGGUAGGUACAACAAAGUGAGAGGGCUGCAAUAGAUGCCUCACAAGUUAGGGAGUUGGAAGACAUAUUGAUGGAGGCCAGAAACUUGGCGUCACACCUGAAAGAGAAGA